AUGAAUAUGACAAGAACACAGUGGAGAGCAGAGCAGGCAUACCUUGUUUGGAUCACUAUUGUGGUCGAGUGGAGGAAUCCUUCUGGCUCCGCGUGGGUUAUCCUUGUUUCCGGUAACGGCGACCAUCCAUCUUUCCAGAGUGACAUCGUCGACUGCUUCUGGAUGGACUCGAGUCUCGUCUUCAGUCCCACAGUACAACCACAUGCAGUGGCUCCGGAACUGAAGGGGCUGGAUACGACGCCUAAGGAAAACCUCCAGGAGAUCCAUGCCCAUCACUCCCUCCCGAACCAACUGUACCACGCGCUCCAUCAACAUCUUCACGUCAGCUUUCUCCUCCGGAAUCAACUUCAGAGAGGAGGGCUUGUUCACUCGGUCCAUGGUAAACUAAGGGAGUCCACUCGACUGCCCCGGCGUCGACUGAUCCUGGCAGUAGAACCAGGUCGACUGCCAGCCUCUGACUGA
rnacentral:rRNA from 1 species